rnacentral:rRNA from 1 species
GGCGGACGGGUGAGUAACACAUAGGAAUCUGCCCAGUAGCGGGGGACAACUUGGGGAAACUCAAGCUAAUACCGCAUACGCCCUACGGGGGAAAGCGGGGGACCUUCGGGCCUCGCACUAUUGGAUGAGCCUAUGUCAGAUUAGCUUGUUGGUGGGGUAAUGGCCUACCAAGGCGACGAUCUGUAGCUGGUCUGAGAGGACGAUCAGCCACACUGGGACUGAGACACGGCCCAG